AGUGAUGACCUUACAGACAAGAUGCAGUGCUGGGACCAUUACAGGCGCAGGCCUUCAGAACAACAGAAACCACCCCGGGCAGCUUGAAGAGGUGGUUAUUUCCUUCCACCCAAGAUGCUGCUCCUGACCCGGGAGGCAGUGACACCCCAGAGGACUUCACAGAUGCGCCCACACAAACUCACAGAACACAGGGACGGAGAGAGGCCCGUACCAGUUCUCACAGCUCAGAAAAAGGACCUGACAAAGGCACAUGGGGAAAAUGGCUUUAUUCUGGC
rnacentral:lncRNA from 1 species